AACGAACGCUGGCGGCAGGCUUAACACAUGCAAGUCGAACGCCCGUAGCAAUACGGGAGUGGCGGACGGGUGAGUAACGCGUGGGAACGUGCCCUGAGGUACGGAAUAACUGCGGGAAACUGCAGCUAAUACCGUAUGAGCCCCGCAAGGGGGACAGAUUUAUCGCCUUAGGAGCGGCCCGCGUCGGUUUAGCUAGUUGGUGGGGUAACGGCUGACCAAUGCUUCGAUCCGUAGCUGGUCUGAGAGGACGAUCAGCCACACUGGGACGGAGACACGGCCCAGACUCCUACGGGAGGCAGCAGUGGGGAAUCUUGCGCAAUGGGGGCAACCCUGACGCAGCCAUGCCGCGUGAAUGAUGAAGGCCUUAGGGUUGUAAAGUUCUUUUGCCCGUGACGAUGAUGACGGUAACGGGAGAAUAAGCUCCGGCUAACUUCGUGCCAGCAGCCGCCGUAAAAC
rnacentral:rRNA from 1 species